rnacentral:misc_RNA from 1 species
UUAAGUUCAGCGGGUAUCCUUGUCUGAUCUGAGGUCAAAACUUCAAGUCUCAUAUGAGAGCCGUCACGUUUAACGCCGCGAAGCAGUUGCCAGCAGGCUUUCUGGAAGAUUGUAACACCACUCCAUUGACCUGGCUAGAAGGUGGCUUGCGGUCGUGCAGCAAGUUUAGGGAGGGCGCAAGGUGGAGUAUUUACCACCGG